rnacentral:rRNA from 1 species
AUGGCAACGACCUCCGGUCCCGGUUCAUCGGCGCGGAACUCCCACAGGCUACGCGACCUCUGCUGCGACCUGCAGGCGCAGCGGAACGCCACGUCGCUGCUCAAAUGCCUGCUCUUCGCCCUACCUGCGCUCCUCGUCCUGGCUGCCGGCGUGCUCCUCGUGCUACGCUUCGCCGUCACCCCGCAGGUCAAGGCCUACGUCGAGGACGCCCGUCUCAUCAGCUUCGUCCUCGCGACCACAGGGCCGUCUUUCCUCUACAACGUGUCCAUCUCGGUCGCCCUGACAGUUCGUAACACCAAUGGAGCUAUGGCCAUCAAGUACACAAAGCCCCUCGUGGCCACCUUCCUCUUCCACGACCGGCGUCUGUACAACGUUACCGUGGCGGACGAGGGGCACAGGCACAGGCCGCUCAAGAGGGAGCUGCACCUCCUCCAGACCGCCGGGGAGACCCCGUGCGUGCUCGACGCGGCGGGGGGCGAGGAGUUCAUGAAGCAGAAUGCGACGGGGGUGAUCAAAGUGGAGAUGCGCCUCUCUGGACGGAUCACUCUCGGCAUUGGCAACAGGCGCCUGCUGGAGCUCAGCUGCCCGCUCACGCUGCAACGCCCGCCGCCGGGCCCCGAUGUCGUCGUGUUCCCUGAGGUCGACUGCAUACCUGACAAGCCCAAGAAAAUCGUCUUCUGA